rnacentral:rRNA from 1 species
UACGUAGGGACCAAGCGUUGUUCGGAUUUACUGGGCGUAAAGGGCGCGUAGGCGGCGUGUUAAGUCAGCUGUGAAAUCUCCAAGCUUAACUUGGAACGGUCAGCUGAUACUGAUGUGCUAGAGUGCAGAAGGGGCAAUCGGAAUUCUUGGUGUAGCGGUGAAAUGCGUAGAUAUCAGGAGGAACACCGGUGGCGAAGGCGGUUCUCUGGGCAUGUCCUGACGCUGAGGAGCGAAAGUGUGGGGAGCGAACAGG